rnacentral:misc_RNA from 1 species
UCCGGUUUGGCACCGGCAGUCUCCGAUGAGUCCCCGGCAUGACCCGCUGGCAACUAGGGACAGGGGUUGCGCUCGUUGCGCCACUUAAGGCAACACCUCACGGCACGAGCUGACGACAGCCAUGCACCACCAGUGCAGGCUCCGUAGAGCGCCGGCUUUCACCGGCUUUGCCCCGCAUGUCAAGCCCAGGUAAGGUUCUUCGCGUCGCAUCGAAUUAAGCCGCAUGCUCCGCCGCUUGUGCGGGCCCCCGUCAAUUCCUUUGAGUUUCAGCCUUGCGACUGUACUCCCCAGGCGGUAUACUUAACGCGUUAGCUACGGCACAACUAGGGUUGAGUCCAGUUACACCAAGUAUACAUAGUUUACGGCAAGGACUAC